rnacentral:SRP_RNA from 1 species
GCCGGGCAUGGUGGCUCACGCCUGUAAUCCCAGCAUUUUAGGAGGCUGAGGUGGGUGGAUCACCUGAGGUCAGGAGUUCGAGACCAGCCUGACCAACAUGGAGAAACCCCAUCUCUA